CUUGCCAGGAAUUCUGGCCCUCACUUCCAACAGUUAGUGAGAGGGGGCCCCCUUCUGCAAGUGCCCAGAAAACCACUGCAGCUUUUCAGAUCACAAGGGAUUCUCUGCAACCAGCAGGAAGUAGGGGCUACCAGGACAGCACAACCGAGCCCCAGCUUUGGAACAGUUUUGCAUCCUUGGGAUCACAUUCAGGAGAGUCUAAGACCCAAAUCUCCAUCCUUUGUUCCUGAUGUGAGGACUGGAGGACUGUACUGGGGGGAAGGGAGUGUCAGUAUUCAGACAGGCAGACUGGGGCAUUUUAACAUGGGGGCAUCUGUGCCUAAAUCCAACAGCUCUGCCAGAAGAGGUCCUGGGAAGCCCAGGGCCAAGGACAACUGCAAAGCUGCCAGCGCCCUCAAAAUGUUCCUCACCGAUUUCCUCACACACUCACACAAAUGAACAGUCUAAACCCAGGUGUCUAAACAUACCCUCGGCCACUUACCAUACAGUAUGUUGGAGAAAGGAACUCGGGCUUGAAACUUUCGGGAAUGGAAACAGUACAUAUUGUAAAGGGCACAUAUUGUGUUGAUAAGUCUGCGCAAGAAUUGAGAGUAAUAAAUGUGAGUGAGGAAUCUGAGACUUGGGUAGAAGCUUGAGACUAGGGGUUAGCUCAGUAGUGUCUAGUCACCCCACCUCCAGAAUGAGCAGCCAUAACCUAUGGCUGAAGGGCUGAANNNNNNNNNAGGGCUAAGGGAAUCAGAAGCAGGACCAGCCAUCUUAGCAAGAGCCUUGAACCAGCGGAUGCCAUGCAUUCUCGUGCAACUUUGCCAGGGCUGGCCAGACCCUGGAGACCCUGAACAACGGGUGUUCCCUGUCACAAAACAUCCCACACAAACAAUGGUUUCCCCCCAUUUGCACACUCUAACAGAUCUGUGGGUGGCAAGACGCUCUUGGGGAAGAAGCUGUCUGAUUCUCCACACUGCCAUUUUCACCCUCCAUACUGCCAGCAUCCUAGCUGCCUCUUGCAGUAAGGCUCAUUUUUGA
rnacentral:lncRNA from 1 species